rnacentral:rRNA from 1 species
UGCUGGUUCUUUCGGGGACAUGUGCACACCCGUCAUCUUUGUAUUUCCACCUGUGCACAUUUUGUAGGUCCAAAAAAUUUUUCCCGAGACACUCGUUUGGGGGACUGCCGUUCGUUAAUGUCGGCUUCCCCUGUUGGCCUGUAUAGGUCAAAAUUUUUUUCCGAGACACUCGUUUGGGGCAUUGUCGUCUGGCUUGCUCUGCAUUUAUUGGCCUAUGUUUUCAUAUACACCAUAAUGUAAUAGAAUGUUAUUAAUGGGCUUUGCCUAUAAACUAUAUACAACUUUCAGCAACGGAUCUCUUGGCUCUCGCAUCGAUGAAGAACGCAGCGAAAUGCGAUAAGUAAUGUGAAUUGCAGAAUUCAGUGAAUCAUCGAAUCUUUGAACGCACCUUGCGCUCCUUGGUAUUCCGAGGAGCAUGCCUGUUUGAGUGUCAUUAAAUUCUCAACCUUAUUAGCUUUUGCUACUAAUGGCUUGGACUUGGGGGUUAUUUGCUGGCUUCUUUAUCGAGGUCAGCUCCCCUUAAAUGCAUUAGCUGGUUGUCUUUGACCUGUCUAUUGGUGUGAUAAUUAUAUACGCCGUGGGCUUGUCUGUAUAGCACCGCUUCU